rnacentral:lncRNA from 1 species
UUGAAUCCAAACAGUGUCACGGCAGUGUCACUUCCUUCCUGACCAAGACAUGGCUUCUUGCUUGGCCUUUCUUCAGUUGUUUCUUCAGGCACAGGUUCAGCUGUUUCUUCAGGCACAGGUUCAGCUGUUUCUUCAAGCACAGGUUCGAUCUCCCACAUGUUCGUAGCUGCUUGCCUUUCUCCGUAAGUGUAAUCCCAGUUGACGUCAAGCGUUUUCCAGAAGGCUCUGUUCCAUGGUACACGCACCUUAGUCACGGUUCCUUGAAGACAAACCUCUCUCAAUUGGUCUUUGACCAUUGCCAUCUUCCUAACCUUCAUACCCACACGCCAGUUGAAUAGAAGUUUUUCCCUCAUUCCAUCCCAUGGCACAACAAACCAGGAGGAGUCCACGCUUGGGAAAUAAUCAAACUUCAACGUACGAUCAAAUGAAGCUUUGUUGCAAAAUGGCUUUCCCAAAAUUUCGGAUAGUUCUUCAACAGAUAAAGCUCCACUACCGAUCCUGCUCAGCGGCUCUCCCAUAUUGAACAAAGCUGAAAGGCUUCUAGGAGCCCUUCUGAUGCCUACUGUCAGUCCAUCCUCUGUCUUAAGGAAGAUAAGAGAGUCUCCAGGGGACAGCUUCUUGCUCUCCAAGAACGGUUUCCACCCAUUUGCAACCAUUCUGCUCCCACCACCACUGCCACCGCCUCAUCCGCCACGACCACCAAGGUUGUUGUCGUCUCAGCCUGCUCCACCUGUUUCCUUGCCCUCUCCGUCGAUGGUGGUACCGUCUUCUAAUUCGUCUGCUGCCAAUUCUAUGUAUAAUCCUCCUCCGUCUUCGGCCGCUGGAUGCAGUAAUUCUCUGUCCAGUGACAACAAUGUUCAUUACUUCGAUUAAUCAGAAUUAUGUUCUUACUUACCCCGGUCCUUUAAAAGUAAAAGUUCGAAUGUUGUUCCAUAUUGAGAAUACGGCGUGAGUGUUUUGUUUUUAUUUCAUGUAGAUUAAAAAUUGCAUUACUCGUACAUUCACAUUUGCUUUGACGGCCCGUAAUUUAUUAACUUAUCAGACGAUUAAAUAAUAAAUAUCAAAGCCCAGGAUUGGCCCAGCUUGGUGUAGAUUCAAAGUCUUCAAAUACAAAUAUGUGUAGACUCUCGAAGCGUUACGUAGGGUUUCUGAGGAUCGUAAGGGAUCAGAGAGACAAACAAACAAAACCUUAGUUACAGACUGAAACAAUGACGUCUAUCUCCGAUCUUCCAAAUUGUCUGGUAGAACAGAUUCUGUCUAGACUUCCAUUGAAGUCUAUGAGAGCAGUGCGAUUAACUUGCAAAGAGUGGGACACUUUGUCCAAAAGUCGAAGCUUUGCAAAGAUGCAUAUUGAUAAAUUAAGCGCUGAGUAUAUGGAGAUCGCAACGAUGGAUAACAAUCUAUAUCUCAAAGAAGAUCCAUUUAAAGGUAAAUAUGUUUGCCUUGACAAACAAAUUAAGAUAUCUCAAGUUUUCCACUGCGACGGUUUAUUGUUAUGCGUCUUGGGAGAAGAUUAUACCAAGAUUAUUGUUUGGAAUCCGUAUUGGGGUCAAACAAGGUCGAUAGAAACAAGAUGUUAUCACGGUCCAUGCGGAUGUGACCGGUUCAGUUACGCUCUCGGAUACGAGGACAAGAAGUCUUGUCGUAGCUACAAAAUCUUGAGGUUUGUAGAUCAUGAGUACUAUGAGAAUGCGCCUGAAGAUCACCAGCAGUUUGUAUUGUAUGAAAUCUACGAUUUUGACUCUGGUUUAUGGAGGAUCCUUGAUGUUACUCCACACUGGCGUAUAUCGCUUGGUCAAGGUACCUUGUCUCUCAAGGGAAACACUUACUGGCCUGCUUUACAUUAUAACUCAGUACCGGGGAUGCUUAGUGACGAUCACAUAAUCUGUUUUGAUUUUACAAGUGAGACGUUUGGGCCGCUUAUUCCUCUGCCGUUUGGCCGUAUUCCUGGAUACGUGACUUUAUCGUGUGUUAGAGAAGAAGAAGAAGAAGAGAAGCUUGGGGUUUUACUUAGGUGGCCCUAUCUUGAGUUUGGCAUAUGGGUUACGGCUAAGAUUGAGGCUGGAAAGGUGUCGUGGAGCGAGAAUUUGUCCGUGGAUACGAUACCUUACCAUCCGCUUUUAUUCAUUGACGACGAGGAGAAGGAAGUCACCACAAGUUUUGAAGAUGACCGUUUCAUACUGGAUGAUACUGAGGACACAUAUUGUAGCGCACAUAUUGGCUCUUAUGUUCCAAGCUUAGCUCAAAUCAAGCAACCUUCUGCAGGAUGCAAAAGGAAACAACAAUGUGACUUAGAAACUCAAGAAUAUGAUCAAAACAGGUUAACACUUGAAAAGCGCAGCAAGGAAUGCAACAGGUGAUGAUUAGUCUCAGUUAACAAAGCUUAGUUUGUUGUCUUUCAUUUUACUCUUCUUCUUUUUGGUGUUCAUUUACUUUUGGUGUUUAUUUUUGAGUAUAUAUAUAUAUAUUAUCCAUCUCCUUAUGACUUUUAUUAAAUAUUAAUAAAGAGAUUUCCACUCUUAAAUCAUUGUUACGGCUAGAGCUAAACUGAAUGAAAAGGCUCAUAAUUCGGAUGGUCCUGAUAAACACAACAUAGAUAAGAACAGAACCAGAUGCAUCAUCAGAAGUAGCAACAUGAACAAAACGUCGUCACUACUGAUAAGUGUGUAGUGUGUAGCAUUAAGUAAGUGCCUAUAUAUAAUUUUUACCGGUAACCCUUAUAAGGCAUAGGGACAUCACGCCACUGACUCAUCUGCAACACACGCAUGAAAAGCAGAGCAUUUAUUCCCAUCACACCUGAAGGACACAGUCAUCAUUCCGUCUUAGUCGCGUCGCUGAAGUAGAACGUGUUUGGGAAACUCAUAGAGAUUAGCAGUGAGCUUCAUCGAUCCUUGGAUUGAUCAAUCUCCAUACAAUGUGAAAGGGCCUAUCUUCUUCCACGACAUGUUGAAAUGGUAUUAGAAUACAUUAGCAUAUACUUUUAUUGAAUUUUAUUACUACAUUUGAAUAAAUUGUGACUGAUAAGUUGACAUAUUAAACAGUCCUGAAACUAGAUGUUUAUAAAAAAGUACUUGGAUGCAUGAUGUCAUUUAUGUAUAUGCGACAGGAACAUUAUGUUAUUGGUCUUUUUGCUUGCUAUAUUAGACCAUAUAUUAUGAGCCUAAACAUAUGUGCCAUUAGUAAAGCCCGUACGUUUAAGAAAGCACUAAUUGCUAAAAACUUGAAUUUGAAAAUCUUUGAGGUACAUGUCACCAUGAAACUUCUAUAAGCUAAAAGUUAAUUCACAUAUCAGGUUGGAAUUAUUUUUUGGCAAGCUGAUGGAUGCUGGGAUGUGUUGUGUGUGUGGGGAAGAAAGUCUUGAAAGUGGUUAGUUUCUAUUAUCCACCAGCACUGGGCUACCUAUGGCCGUCACUAUUACACUCGUUACGAGUCUUACGACUAUUCCUAAACAGAAGCUACAUAACCAGAAGGAGCAUCAGAAGCAGAAACAGAACCAUAUACAUCAUUCAUAAGCAGCAACAGAACCAGAUGCAGCAACAGAAUAUAGAUGCAGGUAAAAUCUUAGUAACUGAGGGAGCAUUUGGUGAAAUUGCAUUCUUCUAUUCCUCAAGUCCCACAAGUACACAUUUUAACUUCUCUCAAAUCCCUUCACUCAUCAGUAUUUACAACUUUUGAGUCUUAACAUAGACCCAACUCAAGAAACAGUUUGCAGGAUGUUUCUAAAAAAAAAAAAAACAAAAAAAAACAAAAAACAAAAAGAGGUCAAAGAAAGGUCUGUUAACCAUGAUUCCCACGUGUCUAAGCUCUCCUCUCUGAGGUAGGUUCAAUCUGAAAUACAAGAAAGAUCCAUAAUCAUCAAUAUGCAAAUCUUGGAUACAAGUUAUUUCAUCAUACCUUGAAUCCAAACAGUGUCACGGCAGUGUCACUUCCUUCCUGACCAAGACAUGGCUUCUUGCUUGGCCUUUCUUCAGUUGUUUCUUCAGGCACAGGUUCAGCUGUUUCUUCAGGCACAGGUUCAGCUGUUUCUUCAAGCACAGGUUCGAUCUCCCACAUGUUCGUAGCUGCUUGCCUUUCUCCGUAAGUGUAAUCCCAGUUGACGUCAAGCGUUUUCCAGAAGGCUCUGUUCCAUGGUACACGCACCUUAGUCACGGUUCCUUGAAGACAAACCUCUCUCAAUUGGUCUUUGACCAUUGCCAUCUUCCUAACCUUCA